GCUGGCAUUAGGGGCCUUUAUUUAACGUUGCGGGUGGAGAGCUCUGCGGUUCAACUACUCGCUGCUGCUACUCUCCUGGUCUGACAUCAUGGGAGUGACUUGUGUGUCCCAGAUGCCUGUGGCUGAGGGCAAGAGUGUCCAGCAGACCGUGGAGCUCCUGACUCGGAAACUGGAGAUGCUCGGGGCAGAGAAGCAAGGAACAUUUUGUGUGGACUGUGAGACCUACCACACGGCUGCCUCUACCCUUGGCAGCCAAGGUCAGACCGGGAAGCUGAUGUAUGUGAUGCACAACUCAGAGUACCCUUUGAGCUGCUUCGCCCUCUUUGAGAAUGGCCCUUGCCUUAUUGCUGACACCAACUUUGAUGUGCUCAUGGUAAAGCUCAAGGGCUUCUUCCAGAGUGCCAAGGCCAGCAAGAUUGAGACCCGGGGCACCCGUUACCAGUACUGUGACUUCCUUGUGAAGGUGGGCACAGUCACAAUGGGACCCAGUGCCCGAGGCAUCUCUGUGGAGGUGGAGUAUGGCCCCUGUGUGGUGGCUAGUGACUGCUGGAGCCUGCUGCUCGAAUUCCUACAGAGUUUUCUAGGUAGCCACACUCCAGGGACUCCCACAGUGUUUGGCAACAGACACGACACGGUCUAUGGCCCAGCAGAUACCAUGGUCCAGUACAUGGAACUCUUCAACAAGAUUCGCAAGCAGCAGCAGGUGCCAGUGGCUGGGAUUCGUUAGUGACUGGUAGCUGCCUGGCUGAGUUCUGUCACCAGGGGACUCCACAGGAGGAGCAGGUGCUAUACCCUCAGGCCCCUGGGUCCCAGAAACCCAGGGCAGACGUGGAAGCCUCUCUCCCUCUCCAGUUCCCAGCUGUGGCUUUUGUUCUGGGGCUCUGGACUCCUCUCCCCUGACCCUCACACACAGUCCCCUGACAGCUGUUUCACCCCACGCCUUACUGGACUUGGCUUGUCCUCAAGAACAGUAAUUAUGAAGAGUGGAGAAGUUUGGAGCUUUCAUGCUGUAGGGGCAAAGAUUCUCUGGAUGGAACAAAACCUUGAACAGACCUCUAGUUUAUCCUGCAACUUCAAUCAACAUCCCACCUAAAUCAUCCCAGGU